AGCGAACGCUGGCGGCAGGCUUAACACAUUCAAGUCGAACGCAUCCUUCGGGGUGAGUGGCAGACGGGUGAGUAACACGUGGGAACGUACCCUUCGAUCUGGGAUAACUUCGGGAAACUGGAGCUAAUACCGGAUACGCCCUUUUGGGGAAAGGUUUACUGUCGAAGGAUCGGCCCGCGUCUGAUUAGCUAGUUGGUGGGGUAACGGCCUACCAAGGCGACGAUCAGUAGCUGGUCUGAGAGGAUGAUCAGCCACACUGGGACUGAGACACGGCCCAGACUCCUACGGGAGGCAGCAGUGGGGAAUAUUGGACAAUGGGCGCAAGCCUGAUCCAGCCAUGCCGCGUGAGUGAUGAAGGCCUUAGGGUUGUAAAGCUCUUUUGUCCGGGACGAUAAUGACGGUACCGGAAGAAUAAGCCCCGGCUAACUUCGUG
rnacentral:rRNA from 1 species